rnacentral:tRNA from 1 species
GGAGAAUUUAGCUUAAUUAAAGUGUUCGAUUUGCGUUCGAGUGAUGCAAGAUAAAGGCUUGUAAUUCUUA